CAGACAAACAUAGCCAACAUGCAGGUCCAUUAAUCACUCACUAUAACAGAUCAUACCAGUUAGCACUAUGACAAUUCAGUUCACCAAUUCAAAGUACAUGCCAGAAUCUUGGUAUUUCAUUGUUGUAUACACAAUGAUAUCAUGUCAGACAUAAACAGAAUGUGCAGCAUUAAUGAUUAAUAAUUGUUUGGACCAAACCAACUUGUUGACAUUUUUUAAUCUAUCAGUUUUUCUCAUAUUUACUUUUUAAGUGUGUUGAUGUUGGAAUAACAUUGCAGAUGAACCAAGUAUGAACAUUGAGGGAGAUGACAAAGGACCUUUUGUUCCCAGUAGGUGGAGCUUAAGAGUCUUCAGCAACAGAAUGUCAAUAGAAAAAUGCUUUUCGGAGACGGCCCUCACAGUGCCAAACCUCUAGGAGAUCAGCAAUGGUGUCUCUCUCUGCAGUCAUCCUUUUAUCUCUCUAUAUUGGUGAAACCUUGGAGGAUAGUAUAAAAUCUCUGGACUCUGUGAAGCAUGUUGCACAGGGAGGGAGUGCUACUCUCUCGUGCAGUUACAGUGGCUCUGUCAGGACAUUGCAGUGGUAUCGCCAAGGUCUCCAUUCUGAGCCACAGUUCCUUCAGUACAUCACCACAUCAGGGACGAAAUACCCUGAGCACGUUGAAAACCUGUCUGUGAGGGUUCUGAACAACAUCACACGCCUGGAACUGGAGAUCUCCUCAGCUGAAAUGACUGACUCGGCGGUCUACUACUGUGCUCUGCAGCCCACAGUGACAGGAAAUCACACAUCUUUGAACAAAAACCUGAUACUGUAGGUCCCAAAGAAAUCAACAUGAGUAAAAGCAUUACAAGAGUAUUCAAGUAUAA